rnacentral:ncRNA from 1 species
AGACCGGAUUUAUUUAAAUCCACAAACAAACGCCUAAAAACAUCA